GGGGUGCCCAGUUUGCAGCACUUUCUUGGUAAAAGCAAACCUCUUUAAAGCAUGUCACAAUCGCUGCACACUUCAUUUUCUGCAGAAAAGGGGAAAUGCAACUGGACAUGCAGCUUAUUGGAAGAAGGUUUGGAAAUGAGGCAUGGAUAUGCAAAGGCUCGUCCCGCUGCUGUUAUAUUCCUGUCUAGAACUGCAGAGAAGAGACGUUGGGACUUGAAGAGUUGCACAUGCCAACACGCUCAGGGUUAUGUUAUCACUUCGUGGAAAGUCUUGCGCUGCUCUUAAAGUUCAUGAAAAAUCAUGUUUUCACCACCUCCGAGGGACCAAGCCAAACACUUGGUAAAUUUCUGCCUGAGUCUGUUUGGAGGCUAUUUACGGAUGAAAGAUGCAUGCUUCACAACCUCGUCACUACUGGACCUGGGUGGUGAGGUUUUACUCGGCUUAAACACAUAAACACAGACACAGGCACAGAUAGAGACACAGACACGCGUAGACAUGGACUCACACACACAGACACAAACAUAUAGACGACAUUCACAUACAGGUGGUAGAAAUAAUCUGGGACAGGGAUAUAGAAAUGUUGUCAAAAGGUCUCCUUAUGCAGGAAUAACUCCUAAAGACAAAUAAGUGACAAACAAAUAUGAACAGUUGGAGAGAUAUAAGCUAGACCGAGUCAGCCAAGGUGAGGUUCCACUUGAUUCUGGCUGGAUUCAACUUAUAUUCCUGGUGACAUGGAGUAGAUAAGCCUGACUCAUGUUAUGAACCUGUGUUCCUGCCACAAACACUGCACCGUGAAGAAUGGAAAGCCCUGUGUCUAAGUUUAAUGACUGGUUCCAGGCUAUACAUGAAGAGUGCUGAAUUUGUGUUCACAUUUUGCCAAAGAGAGUCAGUACUUUUUCAGCAAAUGCCAAACUAAACAAGCACGUGAUUUAGGGUUUGUCAAGGUAAAGGGCUCCCCAGGCAUUUGUUCAAAUAGGUCUGAUUCUAUUGGCCUAAAGUUAGCACAUAGGUGAC
rnacentral:lncRNA from 1 species